AGAGUUUGAUCAUGGCUCAGAUUGAACGCUGGCGGCAGGCCUAACACAUGCAAGUCGAGCGGCAGCGGGAAAGUAGCUUGCUACUUUUGCCGGCGAGCGGCGGACGGGUGAGUAAUGCCUGGGGAUCUGCCCAGUCGAGGGGGAUAACUACUGGAAACGGUAGCUAAUACCGCAUACGCCCUACGGGGGAAAGCAGGGGACCUUCGGGCCUUGCGCGAUUGGAUGAACCCAGGUGGGAUUAGCUAGUUGGUGAGGUAAUGGCUCACCAAGGCGACGAUCCCUAGCUGGUCUGAGAGGAUGAUCAGCCACACUGGAACUGAGACACGGUCCAGACUCCUACGGGAGGCAGCAGUGGGGAAUAUUGCACAAUGGGGGAAACCCUGAUGCAGCCAUGCCGCGUGUGUGAAGAAGGCCUUCGGGUUGUAAAGCACUUUCAGCGAGGAGGAAAGGUUGGUAGCUAAUAACUGCCAGCUGUGACGUUACUCGCAGAAGAAGCACCGGCUAACUCCGUGCCAGCCGCCGCGGUAAU
rnacentral:rRNA from 1 species